CGCGGUAUCCUAACCGUGCAAAGGUAGCACAAUCACUUGUUCUUUAAAUAAGGACUAGUAUGAAUGGCAACAUGAGGGCCCAUUUGUCUCUCGUGGCUCACCUAUAAAACUGAUCUUCCAGUACAAAAGCUGGAAUAAGCUCAUAAGACGAGAAGACCCUGUGGAGCUUUAGACACAACGCCAAAUAUUCUGGCACCAUGUCUUUAGUUGGGGCAACUUUGGAGCCAAACAAAACCUCCAAAACUCUUCUAAGGCCAACCAGCCUAAAACCAACUACCUAAACGACCCAAUAAAAUUGAUCAAUGAACCAAGUUACCCCAGGGAUAACAGCGCAAUCUUCUUCUAGAGUCCCUAUCGACAAGAAGGUUUACGACCUCGAUGUUGGAUCAGGAUACCCAAAUAGUGCAGCCGCUAUUA
rnacentral:rRNA from 1 species